CCCCUGGUCAAUGGCUGCCAGCAUGUUCAAAUACGUUCAAUCAGAGAAAUAUAAUACAAGUAUAAUAUGUCUCUGGUUCAACCAAUGAAUAUUUAUUUCAUUUUGUAUGAUCAAUAAAACAAUCAUUCAUAUGUUUGGGAAUAUAUAAGUCCUGAAUUUGAACUAUUAACAUCUGACAUCGAUUUUUUCACUUGUCCCAUCGGACAAGUAGUAUGAUGAAUCUACUUGCCCGACACCUAUUUCCACUUGCCCCGGACAAUCGGACAAACGGUAAUGUCGAG
rnacentral:lncRNA from 1 species